AACGAACGCUGGCGGCAGGCCUAACACAUGCAAGUCGAGCGCCCCGCAAGGGGAGCGGCGGACGGGUGAGUAACGCGUGGGAAUAUGCCCUUUGCUACGGAAUAGUCUCGGGAAACUGGGGGUAAUACCGUAUACGCCCUUUGGGGGGAAGAUUUAUCGGCGAAGGAUUAGCCCGCGUGGGAUUAGGUAGUUGGUGGGGUAAUGGCCUACCAAGCCGACGAGCCAUAGCUGGUGUGGGAGGAUGAUCCGCCACACUGGGACUGAGACACGGCCCAGACCCGUACGGGAGGGAGGAGUGGGGAAUCUUAGACAAUGGGGGCAACCCUGAUAUAGCCAUGCCGCGUGAGUGAUGAAGGCCUUAGGGUUGUAAAGCUCUUUCAGCUGGGAAGAUAAUGACGGUACCGGCAGAAGAAGCCCCGGCUAACUACGUG
rnacentral:rRNA from 1 species